rnacentral:rRNA from 1 species
UUUGUGGAGAGUUUGAUCCUGGCUCAGGACGAACGCUGGCGGCAUGCCUAACACAUGCAAGUCGAACGGAGAGCGGAAGUUUCGAUGGAAGCUCUUAGUGGCGGACGGGUGAGUAACGCGUGGAUAACCUGCCUGAGAGUGGGGGAUAACAGCCCGAAAGGGCUGCUAAUACCGCAUAACGUUGUCUGGGGACAUCCCCGGACAACCAAAGGAGCAAUCCGCUCUUGGAUGGGUCCGCGUCCGAUUAGCUCGUUGGUGAGGUAAUAGCUCACCAAGGCGACGAUCGGUAGCCGGCCUGAGAGGGUGAACGGCCACACUGGGACUGAGACACGGCCCAGACUC